rnacentral:rRNA from 1 species
CCUACGGGUGGCUGCAGUGGGGAAUUUUGCACAAUGGGGGAAACCCUGAUGCAGCGACGCCGCGUGAGUGAUGACGUACUUCGGUAUGUAAAGCUCUAUCAGCAGGGACGAAAAUGACGGUACCUGAUUAAGAAGCCCCGGCUAACUACGUGCCAGCAGCCGCGGUAAUACGUAGGGGGCAAGCGUUAUCCGGAUUUACUGGGGGUAAAGGGAGCGUAGACGGCAGCGCAAGUCUGGAGUGAAAUGCCGGGGCUUAACCCCGGAACUGCUUUGGAGACUGUGCAGCUAGAGUGCAGGAGAGGUAGGUGGAAUUCCUAGUGUAGCAGUGAAAUGCGUAGAUAUUAGGAGGAACACCAGUGGCGAAGGCAGCUUACUGGACUGUAACUGACGUUGAGGCUCGAAAGCGUGGGGAGCAAACAGGAUUAGAUACCCGGGUAGUC